rnacentral:lncRNA from 1 species
GUAUUUUCUAUAAAAAUCAUGAACUGGUAGACUAUCUGAUUGAUGAUGAUAGGAUGCUAGAACAUGAUUUUGAACCCUCUUUAUAGCGUAGACGAUAAUCGGUAACCUAUGCUACGAAGUGGUAUUUAUGAGAGGCGUAAAUAUUUGUGCGUACCUAGUAGACACUAUGCAUGCCGCCUGGGGCGAGGAUCUGGUGUUGGCAUGUAGGCCGGGAGAAAUAAUCCCUAGCGAAAGGCUGAGGGACACGGAGACUGGCAUUGGGCCCGGGAGGGAGUUAUCUCUGGCUACGGGCACAGAGACUGAGGUGCGGGCAUUGGGCCGGGAGUUAUAUUUAUUCGGUGAUCUUACUAGCAGCACACCGCGUUUACGAGACGAUUUUACGAGAUGUUUUACGCGAUGAUUUAUAUGAUGUUUUCCGCGUUAUGGCUUUUGAGAUAUUUUUUGGCAUGCUAGGAUUUUUAUUAAAUCCAUCACUUAUUAUGCUAGUAGUUUUCAUUUAUAUAAACUUUGGGGGUUAGUAUCUUGAUAACUGUUUUAUUAUUAUUGUAUAUAAACUUGGUCCACUCACCUUUGUUUUGCGCCCCCAUUCAGGACUUAGAAUCAAGGCACCUAAUCCCGACGUGAAGACACUUCCGCAGCAGCAUCUUCGGAUCCUCUCGAUGUAGGACCCACUUCUUUAUUCAUUCAAUUUUAUCUCAAUUCUUUUUAGUGAUUAGGUUUAGUUGUAUGUUCUGAACACGUUCUUAAAAUUAUUAACUCUUAUUUAUUUCUUAUUCUUAGUUUUUGUAUCAAUUAAUGGCUUUCGUCACCCUCGGGUGUCGGCCAGCACGUGUCUAUCCUGGUAUUCGGGGAAUAUCAGGGUCGGGGCGUGUCAGAUUGGAACAUGUUCUUAAAAUUAUUAACUCUUAUUUAUUUCUUAUUCUUAGUUUUUGUAUCAAUUAAUGGCUUUCGUCACCCUCGGGUGUCGGCCAGCACGUGACCAUCCUGAUAUCCCGAAGAUAUCGGGAUCGGGACGUGUCAGAUUGGUAUCAGAGCGUGGUUUGUUCAGAGCAUACUUAGGAUUCUUUUCUAUUCUCUUAAAGUGUUGGUUUUGACAUCAUUUGGAUGUCACGACUUCCGGAUUUUGUGCCAGUCGGCGCAGUUGUGUGAAUCUCUCUCUGAUUGAAUUAUCACCUUUUAGUUGAAAUACAAGAAUUCGUGUCGGGAUUGUGCCUCAACAGUGAUGAAGUGGAUUGUUGGAUGACUUUCGACCUCGGAUCGAUACUCAGACGAUGUGUUUUAGAAAUCUCAAUUUGAAGAAUUCUGGUUAAGACCAGCUGUAGAUUCGAAAUGGCGAUGCCACUCUGCAACAUGCGUUCCCUAGGAAUUGCGGGCGGAGUCGGCUCUACAUCGAAAUCUUGAGAAACUCCUCGGCAGCAGACGCUAUUCUCAUCAAUUUCCAAAAUGAGUUGCAAUUCUUAUUGUUGUUAUAGUUGGACUUGGAUGAUGAAUAUCCAUUCUUGUUUGGAUAAACAGAUUCCUUGAAUUUCACCUGGGUUUGGUACUUGGUGGCAAACUCUAGUUCCUCGUCCGCGUACUUUUCGGGGAAGGUGAACUUAGUCUCUUGCUUACAACCUAAAUGUUCAGCCUUGUAAUUUUCAGUGUAAUGGCUUGAGACUCUAUCAUAUUCAUCAUUGUACGAAGAUCGAACUUUACUCUAAACUUCCCUGGACUCAUUGAGCUUUGGUUUGCUCAAAAGCAUCACUUUAAGGUAGCCAAUUGUGUCACUGCAUGCAUACGCAGGCUGCUUUGUAGCUUUCUUCUUCGUCAUUCUGCUGAUUCAGAGGUUCUAUGUUUAAUUUUUGAACUUUGAAACAGCUCUCACAAAGUAUUGUGAAUCCCGAAAUUUCUUUAGCCUCGUCAAAUUUUAUUAUCAGUCCUUAACUAUUAUUGAGCUUAGUCUUAUUUCCUUUUGACUAAGAAAUCAGUUGACCAUACUGUGAUGAUUUGCAAAAUAAUCAGAAACAGUGACUCUAUUUCUGCAUCUUUACCACCUUCUCGACAUGGCUUCUCGCCUAAUCAGUGAGAAAUCCACGAUCGAUCGUUUCGGUGAAAGUGGGCACCCAGUUCGUGUUGUUUUGGACAAGAAUGUUGGGAGCAUAAUCUUUUCACAAGCUUACCAAACUUAUCAUAAAGAGUUCAUUAUGGGUGUGAAGUUUGAGUUGUCCUUUGGUAGGAGACUGGUGAAGAUUUUGGUGCAGAAGGUCAGCAUAUUGUAUCACCAUCUCACUAGAAUUCAUAGGCAUCACAUCGGUUAUUUUCUAACGAUAUGUGUUCGUCUCAACGCAUAUUUCCACUGCUUCACUUCCGAACCUUAUUGUUGUGAGUACGUGGUUGUUAAAACACUUCUAGCAGAUUUGUUUGGUGCAUUCUGAGAUGGCACUACAGGACGGUCGAAGUGAGAAUUGGAUAAUCUUUACACUUCUCUGGAAAGGUGUGUACUCUCUUUUGUUUUUAGGUUGACCAUUUGCGAGUCGUUCUUCUUUCCACCAACUUUGGCCUUGUUUGACUUGAAAUCUGCAACUAAGCAAAAAUGGAGAGGUGGAUUGAGCACUACAACAGUUCCCAAGAGAUACUGCGUGUUGAGGAAGAUGACUUCUCAUUUUCUGCUUGCUUGGUUCGAGCUUUUGGGUCUACUACUAACAUGGUAGCCACUUCUCUUGAAUCCUAAGGUACAGUUUUCAAAUUGGUUCGUUGUUGGCAAAACACUGGAGUAGUUGGUCACAUUUGGAAGAACUGAGGAGGAUAGGAUGCUUGGUGCUGGAUAGAGUUUUACGACGACAGUUUCUGUUUUGUUCGGUUUUGUGUAUGGCACUUUUUACGACCUGGUACGAUAGUUUUUCAUGGACAACACUGGUUGACUGAAAAGUCUUGCGAACUUGUAUUUGGAGCAUCGAUCCUACGAUAUGUGAAAUUGUACACCAUUUGAGAAAUUACUACUUGCCUAUCGAGACAACAAAUGUGAGGUCGAUAUUGCGGGCUGCAGACUGUGAUAUCGAUAGCUUAUUUGGUGGGUUCGUUAAGCAAGUGGGCAAGAAGAUUCGUCUACAGCAGCUGAUGCAGAUUCAGAAUUUGUAUUUCUUGGGACUCGACCUAAAGGCACAUCUAUUCUCGGAAUAUAUGACAUUUCGAAUUCUUGGGCGAGACCCACUCUCAUUUUUCAGUUUUGGUUUUCAGUGUAAGUAUUUUAACUUCAUUUACUCUAGUUAAUUAUUUUGACGUUACAAAUGUUUUUGGAAAAGUAUUUCUGUUUUCAUUUUUAAGUUGAUUCGAGUUUUUGAACUAUAUGUCAGUACAUAUCUAUUUUGACGUUAUCUGGCCUUAAGCUAUUUUGUGUUUUCAACUUUAUAUUUUAUUAAAGUAUGUGUUCUAUUUUUACACUGAUGAAAAAAAAAAAAAAAAAAAAAAAGUUUGAGCCUGGAGGCACGAAAGAUGGAAUCAUUGCAGCCGAUCGCGACGGCGUGGCAUUUUCCCUUUUGUGAAACCGCUCUUACCUGAUCUCUUCGUUACAUAUAUAUAUAUUAUUCUUCUUCCUAUUUUCAAGUAUUUUCGGUGUAGUAUGUUGUUUUAAAUUUCGAGGACGAAAUUUUUUUAUAAGGGUGGUAGAUUAAAACACCCCAACCCUCUUUUAUAUUUUAAAAUUGUUUUAAAGCCUUAAUUGGUGAGCCCGUGGAGCCCACCUUGUUUAUUUUUUUAUGUUUUCUGAUCUCUCUCUUCCUUCUUCUUCGUCUCUCUCCCCCGUAACUCUCCCUUAGCUCUCUCCUUCUCAGCUCUCCCGUCUCUCUCUCCCUCAACCUCUCGCAUCUCUCUCUUCCCCUGGACUCACUAGGACCGAGUCACCAUCGAAGAGAGGCUCGCAACGAACCCCGGACCCUGCCCUGCGAGUUCGACGGCACGGAGUAAGCUUCGGCAAGCACCGCCCCUUUCGAGGCCAUUUCCGGCCAAACCACGGCGAGUUGGUCGGCGUGUAAGGUAUCAAUCUCUUCGUCUCCUUGAGUACUACAACUUUCCUUUUUGUUUCACUCAAUUUCGUUGAAUAUUGAAGAAGUUAUACUCAUUUGAAUCUUACCCAGUUUCCGGCGAGUCCGACGGCUUUCGAGGCAUUUUCCGGCCAAACCACGGCGAGUUAGACGUCGUGUGAGGUACCAUUCUCUUCGUCUCUUCAAGGGCUACAACUUUCAUUUUUGUCUUGCUUGAUUUCGUUGAGUAUUGACAAAGUUAUGGCCAUUUAAAGUUGGGUGGUUUUCCGGCCGAAAUUCCGGCCUUCUCCUUCGACAAACCCAGGCCAUCCGGCCUUUCCCUCUCCCUCGGGCCUUAGGCCCGUGUUGCCUUAGCCCAGUACCCUAACCCAUUCAGUUUUUAUUUUUAGUUAUAUGUUUUUAAAACCCAAAGGGCUCGGGCCCUAGUUUUGGUUGGCCUUGGGCCGGUUUUCAACCAAGGGCUUAAAGCCCUGAUUUCUGUUAGGAGGCCUUAGGACCUUGUGUAGUGUGUGUGUGUGUAUGUUUAUAGUAUAUGUAUGUGUUUGGGCUUAAACCCAAACCCCUUUCCUAACCCUAAACCAUUUUAACCCAAAACCUUAGAAAUCCAAACCACCCAUUUUCACCAUAAACCCUUUUAACCUUAGAACCCUAAAAUCAAAACCCAAUAAAUCCUAAUCCUAUUUAACCUAAACCCUAAUCCGGAUUUCAAGCCUAAAACCCGUUAGACCUAAUUUGACCGUUGACAUCCGGUCAACAUUGACUUUAGAGUUGACUUUUCGGGUUUUCGUCCGGGACCCUUCUUAAGGUAAUUCGACGUUCUGAAUCCGUUUCCAACGUCCGUUUUCCCAAAUUCAAUUGCUAUUAUAUAGUUUUAUUAAUUGGACCCUUUAUGUGCUUAGGGGCAAUUAUUGUGACGUUUUCGUCUUCGCUAGUGGCGCAGCUUUUGACGGCGAAGUACUGUGAGUGGACCCCUUCUAAAAUUACAUGAUUUGAUAAUUUAAUUGCAUAAAUGAUUAGCAUGCCUACGAAUUUAUGAUUUGAUUUAUGUGAAGCCUGAUGAUUUAAUAUAUUGAUUAUCGUCUCGUGUUUUUGGUGAGGAAUUAAUUGUUGGCCUAUAUUGAGCUAUAUUUUAAUAUAUCGUAUUUUCUAUAAAAACCAUGAACUGGUAGACUAUCUGAUUGAUGAUGAUAGGAUGCUAGAACAUGAUUUUGAACCCUCUUUAUAGCGUAGAUCGGUAACCUAUGCUACGAAGUGGUAUUUAUGAGAGGCGUAAAUAUUUGUGCGUACCUAGUAGACACUAUGCCGCCUGGGGCGAGGAUCUGGUGUUGGCAUGUAGGCCGGGAGAAAUAAUCCCUAGCGAAAGGCUGAGGGACACGGAGACUGGCAUUGGGCCGGGAGGGAGUUAUCUCUGGCUACGGGCACAGAGACUGAGGUGCGGGCAUUGGGCCCGGAGUUAUAUUUAUUCGGUGAUCUUACUAGCAGCACACCGCGUUUACGAGACGAUUUACGAGAUGUUUUACGCGAUGAUUUAUAUGAUGUUUUCCGCGUUAUGGCUUUUGAGAUAUUUUUGGCAUGCUAGGAUUUUUAUUAAAUCCAUCACUUAUUAUGCUAGUAGUUUUCAUUUAUAUAAACUUUGGGGGUUAGUAUCUUGAUAACUGUUUUAUUAUUAUUGUAUAUAAACUUGGUCCACUCACCUUUGUUUUGCGCCCCCAUUCAGGACUUAGAAUCAAGGCACCUAAUCCCGACGUGAAGACACUUCCGCAGCAGCAUCUUCGGAUCCUCUCGAUGUAGGACCCACUUCUUUAUUCAUUCAAUUUUAUCUCAAUUCUUUUUAGUGAUUAGGUUUAGUUGUAUGUUCUGAACAUGUUCUUAAAAUUAUUAACUCUUAUUUAUUUCUUAUUCUUAGUUUUUGUAUCAAUUAAUGGCUUUCGUCACCCUCGGGUGUCGGCCAGCACGUGUCUAUCCUGGUAUUCGGGGAAUAUCAGGGUUGGGGCGUGUCACAAAACCAGAGUAUACUUACCUAGGUGUUAUUUCCUAUUUGCAUUUUGAUAAGUCUCAUGUUUUAACAAUCAUCCAUCAUCCCACUCAUGGCAUAAUUGUUUGUGGGAUGACACAACUCAUGACACAACUGGAGUCUAAUUCUACAGAACCCAUGACCCUAAACAAUCCAAAAUUAAUAGAUUACAGUGACAACAUUCCAACAAAAGAAAGAAGACCAAAAAAAUUAUCUACUCUAAAGUAAUUUAGUUCCAUCAUGCAUAAAUCAAGGCAGUCACAUGAGGCUAGUAUCUAUGGUAAUCCAACACAUUAACAUAAAGCAUCCAAAUACACACUCAGAGUUACAAAACGCAUGAAAAUUCACAUUCCAACGUGUUAUUCAAUCACCAAUUUCAAAUCCACCAAAACCAAUUAAAUUUAUGUCAGUACGCAUCAAAACCAAACCCAAAAUCAAAAGAAGGUGAUCAAUUGUUUGAUUUUGCUAAAUAUUACAAAAUAAAAUAAAUAAAAUAUGUACAAAUCAGCAUGCAUAC